rnacentral:lncRNA from 1 species
UUUGUAUUUACUUGAUUACAUUUUAUGAAUUUGAUAAAAUUGAGUAAAGGGGAACACUUACUUCCAUAAACACAGUCCCCUCCAUGCAUUCCUCCCAUUCCCUCUCCCCAAAAUUCCCUGUCAAAAAGAUCCAUUCCUCUUCCUUUUCUCUUUAGAGAAAACAAAAACAAAAACAAAAACAAAAACAAAAACAAAACUAAGUCAAACCUAGAAGAACAAGUUACAAUGAUAUAAGGGCACAAUCCCUCAUUUUAUGUCUGGAAAAAGUAAUAAAAAGCAUCUCAAAAACAGGAUGAGCCAGAGGGACCCAAAAGAAAGGGGAAAAAUACAUAGUAGAUCAAGUGUGGACAAGGAUACUAUGAGAAUACAACUCAUAGAACCUACUAACAGAGCUAAUAGAGGCUCACAAACACUGAAGAUCCUAUAACACAUACUUUAUGGGUCUGAGUUAGGUACCCCUGAAUUAACAUUAUGAGUGUCUAGCUUUGUGUUCUUAUUGGUCUCCCAACUGAGAAAAUGAAACAAUGUCUCAGAGUCUUUAGGCAUCAAAAUAUUUUUUUUCAAUGAUGGUUCCUACACUGGAAAGGCAAGUUUAAGAAUUAAUGUUAAUGGAACUGGAUAAAAUAGACAUUUGCAGAACUUCCCAAAUAAACAAAAGUGUAGGUGUUCAAGGGUAGGAACAACCAUUCAGUCCAGCAUGGUCAGAAGAACCAGAAGCGGUAAAACAUGGAGUCCCUAUAUUCAUCCUGCUAUGUUCAGAACACUUGGUGUUAUUCCUUUAUAAAUUCUGAACUCCUACAUUUGAGAGUAUGGGUUUUAUCAAGGUCCCCUCUGGGGCCUUGAAAGGCAGUUUGUUUUAGUUGGACAAGGCUUGCUUCAUAGACCUAGGAGAAAACUCUACAAGGGAAUAGAAUAUUGAGCCAUAUUUCCAGAGACAGGUGCCUGAAAUUACAUAGCCCCCAACAAUUCUGUGACUAUCAACCAUGCACACAAAGCACCAAUCUCCUGACAUUCUGGCUAAACUCUACCUCCAUAGUUACCUAAAAGUAGCCAGGUAUACUCCUCCCCAAAGUUACCUGGCAACAGCAAGGUAGACCAGCCCAAUAUAAAAGGAGCUGCCUGGCCCCACCUUGCUCUCUUUAAGCUCUCACCUUUCUAACUCUUAUCUCUAGCCCUCCUUCCCUCUCUCCCACCCUCCUCUCUCCAUGUGGCCAUGGCCAGCCUCUCUCUUUCUUUUACCUUCUCUCUUACUCUCUGCCUUUCUACAAUAAAGCUCUAAAUCCAUAGAACAUCUCUGCUCAUCAAGGCCGGCUGUAUUUGCAUGAUGGGAUAGUCUUUCCCCUAAAGAGCCUUGUCUAGCCUCCUGCUGGAAGGCAUCCAGGUGCUCCAGCCAUGGACCAGACCAAGGACUCUUUUCCAUGAGGCAACCACCAAGCACCCACUCUCUCUCUCUCUCUCUCUGCCCUCUCCUCCUUUCAGCCUUGGGAAUGAGCUGCCCAUCCAUGGGGUCAGUUCUUCUGUGGUGUCCAGUUGCAUCUGGGAUGCCCAAUACCAAGAACCUGUUAUCUCUGGUCUUCAUGAGGCCCAGAGACCUUGGAUUCCACUUGUCUACACUCAGUGGGAUGGGGUUCUGAUGUAUCACACAACCAGAUACCCACAUGGGGCCAUGUGGAAAGAGUGCAGCAGUCUUCCUGCACCUGCCUGCCCAGAGCACCGGAAAUCUGAUGUGACACUGAUUUUCAAUAACUCCAUUUAUUCCCCCAUGCCCAUUGUCCAACAGUCCCCUCUACCCUAUUCUUCACACUGCAUUUCUACCUUUAUCAAUCUCCAUUACUGCACAACUCUUCUGGUCUAAAUAGUUAGGAUUUCUACAAAGGUAAGAAAUUACUGUCUUCUUACCGGUGAACUGAGUUAUUGAAAAUCUCUCCAUGUCAUAUCAUGGAUCACUCUACCCCGAUGACACUUAGAAUCUUAUAGCUUUCAUGCACAACUAAAUACUACUUUCCAGUGUGACUUACUGCUUUCCUUAUUAAAGUUUCACAAUCUCUGCCAUUGUUUUUUCUGCAGAUUCAUUUCGAUCUAAUCUUGUACACUCAGACUCAUGGUUGUGCAGUAAAAUAUAAAGGGGAAUGUGGGUAUUGAUGCAUAAUUUAUUAUUAAGCUGGACAGUGAUGAGCAAAUAGCAGAGUCCCAAAUACAUGAGAACCAUGCAUUUUUAUAAUUUGCUGACCAUGUCUGAAUGAAAUAACUAGUUUCUGUUCACUGGUUCUAUUAUUUGUGCUGAGACAAAGGUGUGAAUCUCUAAGAGGUAGCACCUAUUUCCCAGAAAUAAUUUCAUCCUCUUCAUGUAAGAGUAAAACAAUUAACACCAAAUUCAAAUCUGAGAUAUGUGACCAAACUUGACUGUCAGCUUUGGCUGACAAUUCUAAUUUUUCCUCUAAUAUUUCUGCAAAUCACUAUCUACUGCAGUGAUAUUCUCUAUGCAGUAAACUGGCAUUUUGUGGAGUUUAGCUAUGGCAGCAUGUGAAAUAUCAUCAUAGCUUAGCUUAAUAACUAUAUCCAUAUACACAAGAUAAGCAAACUGACUCAAGAUACAUGUAUCUGAAUAUUCAUCUGUACCUGACUACCUCUUAUUGACAACAACUUUCAAAAUUCUACACUUUCAAAUUCUACAAAUAUUGAUAGGAAUUCUAGAUUUCUUUGAUCUAGUUAUGUUAUGGGGAAAUUAUAGACAUUAUUUACAUCUGUCACUAAUGAAAAAAUAUUAGAAGUUUUAGUGGGUGGGAGGUUAUAAUACAACUGAGAACUAGUUCGAGAAGAGAAGUGAUGCAUUCUUUGAGAUAGAAAAUCCUAUGCACAAUUGAAGCAAAAUUGAAUAUGGGAGUGGAUUUUACAGAGGAAAUUUUCCAUACUUGUUUUUCUCUAUUCUAUUUAGCUGUGAACAGUGGUUGGGAGCAUGGUAAUUUUAAUUGUCAUUGAUAGGUCUAUUAUUUGAGGCAACAGGGGUAGGGCACAUAUCUAGGUAAAUCACAGAAUAGCAAUCAUUUUCCAUAUGGUAUUAGUUGGCAUUCCUCAUUUAUGGGCACUUUUUUAGCUUAUGCACUAGAUGUAACACAGCAGGGAAAAUAUAUCGUUGAAUAUCUAGAAAGGUAAAACAUCUCCUUCUCUGUAUAAUGAUAGUUCUGUUUGUAGGCAAGGAGGCCAACCUGAAAGAGACUGUUGGAAUGAAUUUGGAAUUGAGUGAGAAAAUGAUGCUAGGCUUUCACCUUUGGCUAACCUUUAACAUAUUUGAAAUCAGUCUGGCGGUUCCUCAGAAAGUUGGACAGAGUACUACCGGAGGAUCCUGCAAUACCUCUCCUGGGCAUAUAUCCAGAAGAUGUUCCAACUGCUUUCAGCUUGGACCAGGCUCUUGCUGCAGAUUUUGAGAAGGAGUUGUGCCCUGGAAACGUGC